rnacentral:rRNA from 1 species
UUCGGGAACUUAGAUACAGGUGCUGCAUGGCUGUCGUCAGCUCGUGUCGUGAGAUGUUGGGUUAAGUCCCGCAACGAGCGCAACCCUUUUCCUUAUUUGCCAGCGGGUCAUGCCGGGAACUUUAAGGAUACUGCCAGUGACAAACUGGAGGAAGGCGGGGACGACGUCAAGUCAUCAUGGCCCUUACGGCCAGGGCUACACACGUGCUACAAUGGUCGGUACAAAGGGUUGCUACCUCGCGAGAGGGAUGCUAAUCUCAAAAAGCCGAUCGUAGUCCGGAUCGCAGUCUGCAACUCGACUGCGUGAAGUCGGAAUCGCUAGUAAUCGCGGAUCAGAAUGCCGCGGUGAAUACGUUCCCGGGCCUUGUACACACCGCCCGUCACACCAUGGGAGUUUGUUGCACCAGAAGUAGGUAGUCUAACCGCAAGGAGGACGCUUACCACGGUGUGGCCGAUGACUGGGGUGAAGUCGUAACAAGGUAAGCGUAGAUGA